UACGGAGGAUCCGAGCGUUAUCCGGAUUUAUUGGGUUUAAAGGGAGCGUAGGUGGAUUGUUAAGUCAGUUGUGAAAGUUUGCGGCUCAACCGUAAAAUUGCAGUUGAAACUGGCAGUCUUGAGUACAGUAGAGGUGGGCGGAAUUCGUGGUGUAGCGGUGAAAUGCUUAGAUAUCACGAAGAACUCCGAUUGCGAAGGCAGCUCACUAGACUGCAACUGACACUGAUGCUCGAAAGUGCGGGUAUCAAACAGG
rnacentral:rRNA from 1 species